UAUAUAUGUUUUGAUCAAACAUCUUCCUCCCAACAAGGUUGUCAUCUGCUAAACAAUGGCAGAAAACAAUAUGAAGAGUCUCAUGGUGACAUUCAUGAUCAUCAUGCUUGUACUUUCCCCAGCAGUAACGCCAUCCAACGCAGCUCGAUUGACUUACCAAGAAUUCGGUGCUAAGUUAGAGAAAUGCGGUCCUUGCUAUUGUUGCCGGCCAGACACACCCCCCUGCUGCCUUUGCGCCUGCCCCGUUCCUCCAUGAAAUGCAACAGAACUAGUUCCAGUUUGGGCAGAUUGUUGUUUACUAAUAAGCUCAAGAUAUAUGUAAUGAAAUCAAACUGGAGCUUUGAUUUGUUAUCUCAUGUAUUAAUUUCAGCAUUCGACAAUAGAUCAAUAAAGCUUUGGUUCGUCA